CAGGAGAUAGUUUAAAAAAUAUUAAUUUUGGAGAUUAAUGAUGAAAUGAAAGAUUUCUUUCCUGA
rnacentral:tRNA from 1 species